rnacentral:rRNA from 1 species
AGAGACAGCAGUAGCCGCGGGAAUACGUAGGUCCCGAGCGUUGUCCGGAUUUAUUGGGCGUAAGGCGAGCGCAGGCGGUUAGAUAGGUCUGAAGUUAAAGGCUGUGGCUUAACCAUAGUACGCUUUGGAAACUGUUUAACUUGAGUGCAAGAGGGGAGAGUGGAAUUCCAUGUGUAGCGGUGAAAUGCGUAGAUAUAUGGAGGAACACCGGUGGCGAAAGCGGCUCUCUGGCUUGUAACUGACGCUGAGGCUCGAAAGCGUGGGGCGCAAACAGGAUUAGAUACCCGUGUAGUCCCUGUCUCUUAUACC